rnacentral:rRNA from 1 species
GCCUCCCUCCGCCGCCACUCAGACUCCUACGGACGGCGAGCAGGUGGGGAAGUAGUUGCGCAAUGGCGAAGCCUGACGCAGCGACGCCGCGGUCGGGGGAGUGGAAUGCUUCGGUCGUAACCCUUCAGCAGGACGAAGCGAGAGUGACGGUACCUGCAGAAGAAGCGCCGGCUAACUACGUGCCAGCAGCCGCGGUAAUAC